rnacentral:rRNA from 1 species
GAUUAUGGCUCAGGAUGAACGCUGGCGGCGUGCCUAACACAUGCAAGUCGAACGGGGUUAAGGGAAGUUUCGGAUGGAACUUAACUUAGUGGCGGACGGGUGAGUAACGCGUGGAUAACCUGCCUCGCACUGGGGGAUAGCAGCUGGAAACGGCUGGUAAUACCGCAUAAGACCACGGUGCCGCAUGGCACUGGGGUAAAAGAUUUAUCGGUGCGAGAUGGAUCCGCGUCUGAUUAGCCAGUUGGCGGGUAACGGCCCACCAAAGCGACGAUCAGUAGCCGGCCUGAGAGGGUGAACGGCCACAUUGGGACUGAGACACGGCCCAAACUCCUACGGGAGGCAGCAGUGGGGAAUAUUGCACAAUGGGCGCAAGCCUGAUGCAGCAAACCGCCGCGUGAGUGAAGAAGUAUUUCGGUAUGUAAAGCUCUAUCGGCAGGGAAGAAAGGCCCGAAAGGGAGAUGACGGUACCUGACUAAGAAGCCCCGGCUAACUACGUGCCAGCCGCCGC